GAAACGGUGGAGCUGGGCGUGUUGGUUCCAUAGCCGGAAGACGGGAGAGACGCCAGGGACCAUCUUCUGCCGUCUGCCCUGGAAAGAGGAACAGCAGUAGAUGGCAUCAUGGCCCAGUCCUGGUAGCCAGUGGGGACUCCGGGCAUCUCCUCCAGGAAGCCUUCCCUGACUACAGCUGCCAGCGUGCCCCCAAUCUCAGCCUUGACAUCUAAGUCGUAGCUGCUAGGGGACACGCUGGCUGCCCUGGCAGAUCAAGGACUCCUCCAGGGCCAGAGUCCAGCCUCCCAUUCACCGCACACAGCAGGGGCUCAAUAAAUGUUGAAUGAACAAGUGACA